UAUUUAUUUUACUAUAUUUAUUUUUUGUUUAUUUAAUUAUUUAAUAAAAAUAAUUUUGUCGAAUUUUGUCCUAGUAUAUUUUGUAGAAUUGAUUUUUUAUAUUAUAGUUUAUUGGUAAUGUAAUUGUUUUAUGAAAUAUUAUUUUAAAUUUUUAAAAGUAGAUUUUAUUUAUUGUACCCUUUGUAUCCGGGUUUAUCAAAAUUUUAGUAUUUACUUUACUUGUCUCGAUUUGGGUUGAUUUAUAAAUAAUUUAUAGUUAAUGUAUCAUAAUUCUUAUUAAAUUAUUUAUAGAAAUGAGAUGUUAACCGUUUCCCAAGAUAUCUAGUUUCUUAAGAAAAAAUUUAAUUUUUUGAAGUUAAUUGUUUUUAUUUAAUUUUUUAAGUAUAAAUAUUAACUUAUUUAUUCUUUAAGGGAUAAGCUUUGAAGUUAAUAACCUAUAAUUUGUUUUAAUAAAAUAUAAUAGUAAGCUUUAAACCAGCUAUCUUUAAGAUGACGUUUUAGUUCAUUACUUUUAUUUUCGAUUUUAUAAUUAUUUUAGGUUUUUUAUUAAGAUUAUAAAUUUAAUUUUUAAAUUUUUGUAAUAAUGAUAGAAUUAGUAUAUUUAUUUGUAUAUAAUUUUUACCUUGUUAAUUUAUUAUAAGGAACUAGGC
rnacentral:rRNA from 1 species